rnacentral:rRNA from 1 species
UAGCCGUAAACGAUACUCGCUAGGUGUCGGCCACGGUGCGACCGUUGUCGGUGCCGUAGGGAAGCCGUGAAGCGAGCCACCUGGGAAGUACGGCCGCAAGGCUGAAACUUAAAGGAAUUGGCGGGGGAGCACCACAACGGGUGGAGCUUGCGGUUUAAUUGGAUUCAACGCCGGAAAUCUUACCGGGACCGACAGCAACAUGAAGGCCAGGCUGAAGACUUUGCCGGAUUAGCUGAGAGGUGGUGCAUGGCGUAGUCGUG